AUGUUAACUAUUGUUCUUCCUGCCUGCCUGCUGCGCACAGCCCAGGCUGCCGGAAGCUUCCUUGGAAAGUUACACACAGGAGAGAGCCAAGGGUGGGGACCCAUGACUGGAUGAGGAAGUGGCUUAGCUCAGCACUUACCCUCCUCUUGUCCCAGCCCACCUGGUGGACAGGUCGUGGCCCCCAGGAGCCCGUGUCCAUCUACGCAAGUUAGCGGGCUCUCGAGGGCAGGGCUGUGCCUCCCUUAUCUCACGAGGGUCUGGCAGAGUGGGUACCAUUCAUAUUUGCUGUCUGGACAAGCGCGAGAGCAGGUGAGUGGGGUGGGGGGACAUGGGGCAGACGAUGGGAGCACGUGGCUUCUCCGGGAGGCGCUAGUCUAGGGAAGGAGGGGUGAGUGGGAAAGUGUGACGGGGAAGAGGGAAAAGCCAAUAAGGGGGAAAAGGGAGCAGGCUACCCAGUGGGCACCUGGGGCUCGGCCCCCCUGGGGGUCCACUGAGCGACUGUGAGCAGUGUGCCUAGAGCCGUCCUACCCAGUGACCGGUAGGCUGGAGUGUUUGGUCACUGGCCACCAUCCAUCACUGGGUCAAGGCUGCCCCCGUGAACAUUCCGGCCCUGGCGUUUCUGGGUACCCUGUGGGAAGUUGGCUCCUGUGGUGCCAGAGAAAGUUCCAGGCAGGGAAGUGGAGACAUGACGGCUGGGGACGGGAUAGGGGGUAUCCCCCUUUGCAGUGCUCAUUACGGAGCAGGGGACCUCAGAACGAGGGAAUAGGGGCAAUGCACGAACAGCAUCCGCUCCGGGUAAACAUUGCACGUGUGGACUCAUGGCUGGACAUGAGGGUGGACAAGGGGUCAGUGAGCUGGGGAGAGAGGAGCUGGUCAGUGGGGUGACCCUAAGGACCACAUCUUCUCCUGCUUCAUUUCACCGGCGAAGGCUUCUGAAUUGUCAAAGCUAGAAGAACAGGAGGGAAGGCAGCAAAGGGUCAUUGCCACGGGCUUUCCCAACCCAAAGACUGAUGUCAGGGACUGCCCCCCGACUGAGACUCUAUGUCCUACACUUGCCCUGCACACACACAGGGCUGCCCCUCGCAGACACUUGUCCCGCAGGACUGAAGCUGCCGCUCGGGGGCUGGAACCCAAGAAGAAAACCAGAAACCAGGGAGCUAAUUCUUCAGCCUCCUCCGUACUGCUCCUGGCCCACAAACUCCCCCCAGAUCCACAAGCUCCUGCUUCCUGUCCCCUCCCCACCAACAUCCUUCUGCCUCUUGACUUUGCAUGUGCUGUUCCCUCUGCCCGCAAUGCACCCCCACUAUGAUCAAUGUGGAAAACUCCUUUAGGAAUCCAUAGGGCUCUGCUCAAAUGCCAGGUCCUGCACGAAGCCUCUGGUCCCAAGGAACGUCUCCUUCCCUUCUGCUCCCUCGAGACUUCCCUUAGAUCCCAAAUGUUACACUUACCAGCAUCCUUCUGGAGUUCUGGGGUCCUGAGGAACAAAGACCAUCCCCGUGUCACAACUGCAUGCCUGGCGCCCAGCCCAGAGCCUGGUAUGGAUUCAGGGCCUCAGUUUCCUCAUCUGGAACAUGGGAGUGAUCACGGCACCUACCUCAUCAUGCUGUUGUGAAGUUCAGUAGCUGUAUUCAGAGCCACGCCUGGUACAAGGGCAUAUCCAGCCCCACCCCCUUUCUGCCCAGAAGUCAGUGCCCGCCCCGCCGCAGGUCCCAGAGCCCCGAUGGGGACCUGGGGCUUGGAAGAUAAAGGGACCGGGACAUCGUCCACCUGUGUAGAAGACUGGUCAUUUGGAGAGAGUUCGCCCAGCCCAGCGCCAGACAGGGAGCCCCAGGAGCCCUCCUGCCACCUUGCCCUCUGUGGAGACAGCCCUCCAGCCCCUCAGGCCUGGGCCCUGAGCUCUCAACAGGGCCCAUGACUCGUCCUCCUGGCCUUCAAGCCUCCAAGGAGGCACCUCCUUUCUGCAGCUGCAGCAGGUCAAGAGCCUCAUCCGAGGAGGAAGUGAAAGCCCCGCGUGGGUGAGUCAUCGAGGGUCCUGGCCUGGAGGGGCCUGCCGGGAGUGGCACGGGGCGGGGAGAAGAGCCUGGCAGGAAGGGGUGCCACCACGAGGAGGGAGAGCUAGGAGGCCACCGAACGUGAAGGACGUGAAAUCACCUGCAGACCCUGGUGGUCUUUAGCGGGAGAGGAUGUGCAGAGAUACCAUCCACAGUCGUGUCUCUGAGGGCUGGCGUGGGGCAGAGCAGCCAGACAGGGAGGUCACAGAGGUGACCUAGGCAGUCACCUAGCAGUUAGGGUGGCCACUGGCAGGCGGGGAGGUGGGCAGGCCGUGGGCUCUGGAUCUCAACCUCCUGCCUCGGGGCCCCGGUCCUGCCUCUCACUAGCUUCGUGACCGCAGGCACACGGCUUCCUCUCUCCUUUGCCCUGCUUCCUCUUCCGUCAAGUGGUGAGGGUCCCUAACCUGGACAUUAGCCUCUGAAAGGCACCUGGAAGCGUCCCUGGUCCAAGGAAACCGCAACAAACAGCGACUACUGUACCAGGCAGGGUCUCUGCAGGAAAACCAAAACACUCGGUUUCUAAAUUAUUUUCAACAUUUACUUACUUUUGAGAGACAGAGCGUGAGCAGGGGAGGGGCAGGGAGAGAGGGAGACACAGAAUCCAAAGCAGGCUCCAGGCUCUGAGCUGUCGGCACAGAGCCUGAAGCAGGACUCGAACUCACGACCUGUGAGAUCAUGACCUGAGCCGAAGUCAGACGCUUAACCGACUGAACCAUCCAGGCGCUCUUGAAACACUAGGUUUCUAACAGAAGGAAGUCAAUACAGGGACUGCCAAGAAGGUUAGAAGAAACCCAGCGGGGGGAUAGUGCUGCUACCCACAGAUGAGCGACAGCGGGAAGCUGGUGGCACCUCCAAGCCUGGAGGCCAACGGGAGGAGGUGACUGAUCAGAGGGAGACACGAGGAGAAGGGCACUUCACGUCACGGCGGGGAUGGGUUGUGCUCACAGGGUGAGCAAGCAGUCUGGGGGACCAGGCAGGGAAGGAAGGGGUGGGAGAGGGUGACACAGACUCAGCACAGACUUGAGUCAUAUUCUACUUCCUAGUGGUGCCACCUGAUUUACCUCUCAGAGCCUCAAUUUCCUCACCUAUGAAACAGAAAUAAGAAUAACACAUAAUAGGAGCAAACACUUCUUCAACUUUCAGUUCUCACAUAGCCCCAUGGAGCAGGGACUAUCACUAUUAUGCCCAUUAUACCGAUGAGGAAACCGAGGCACAGAGAUCCAGUCACACAACUGGUAUGUGGCAGGGCAGAUCUGACCCAGCCUGUUGGGUCCCCAAGUCCUGCUCUUUGCCACUCACGCGAUGCUCCCCAAUCGGCCAUCCGUGGCUCUCUCCCCAGCCCGUCUCACCCGGUUCAACGCCUCUCUCCUCCUGAGAAUUUUACCCAGUGCCUCCAACCCAGGCUGGUUGUCAGCAUCUGCUCCCAACAAUAGCACCGGACGGCAGACUUACCACUUUCCUCCUAGGCCCUGGGUCCCUGGAGUCACACUGACGUGGGUGUGAGCCCUGGCUCGGCGGUUUUCCAGCCGUGGCGCCCGAGAGAAGCCACUUCCCUUCCGAAAGCCUCAGUGUCCUCGACUUUGGUGUGAGGGCCUUGUCCUAAGUUCAUUGGGCUCUGGUGGGGACAGCGUGAAUCCAACGUUCAGGGGGCAUGCGGCCCAGGGCAGGUGUGUGUAUGUGUGCGUGUGUGUGCACGCACGAAGCCCAUCGAACUCUUAUCAAAACUUAGUCAUAUCCCCAGUCUCGGGGACAGUGCCAAUUAUGUCUUUGCUUUUCCCGAGUUCCCAGCCCCUGCAGAGUGCAACAUGGGGAAGUACUGGGCAUUGUCCGUCUGCGCUCGCUCGCGACUGCCCGUCUCCCGCAGCCUGCUUUUCCCAGG